CUCAUGUGAUGACAAUUUUUCUUGCUUGAUUAAUCGUGGAAGCAAAAAUCUGAUUUAAUGAGCCUGAUGA